GAUGAACGCUGGCGGCGUGCCUAAUACAUGCAAGUCGAGCGAACAGAUAAGGAGCUUGCUCCUCUGACGUUAGCGGCGGACGGGCGAGUAACACGUGGAUAACCUACCUAUAAGACUGGGAUAACUUCGGGAAACCGGAGCUAAUACUGGAUAAUAUAUUCAACCGCAUGGUUCAAUAGUGAAAGACGGUUUUGCUGUCACUUAUAGAUGGAUCCGCGCCGCAUUAGCUAGUUGGUAAGGUAACGGCUUACCAAGGCAACGAUGCGUAGCCGACCUGAGAGGGUGAUCGGCCACACUGGAACUGAGACACGGUCCAGACUCCUACGGGAGGCAGCAGUAGGGAAUCUUCCGCAAUGGGCGAAAGCUUGACGGAGCAACGCCGCGUGAGUGAUGAAGGUCUUCGGAUCGUAAAACUCUGUUAUUAGGAAAGAACAAAUGUGUAAGUAACUAUGCACGUCUUGACGGUACCUAAUCAGAAAGCCACGGCUAACUACGUG
rnacentral:rRNA from 1 species